UACGGGGGGGGCUAGCGUUGUUCGGAAUUACUGGGCGUAAAGGGCGCGUAGGCGGCCCUACUAAGUCGGACGUGAAAUCCCUCGGCUCAACCGGGAACUGCGUCCGAUACUGGUGGGCUUGAAUCCGGGAGAGGGAUGUGGAAUUCCAGGUGUAGCGGUGAAAUGCGUAGAUAUCGGGAGGAACACCAGUGGCGAAGGCGACU
rnacentral:rRNA from 1 species